UACGUAGGGGGCUAGCGUUGUCCGGAAUCAUUGGGCGUAAAGAGCGCGUAGGCGGCCAGAUAAGUCCGGUGUGAAAGUCACAGGCUCAACCUGUGAAUGCCGCUGGAAACUGUCUGGCUAGAGUCCGGGAGGGGCGAGUGGAAUUCCUGGUGUAGCGGUGAAAUGCGCAGAUAUCAGGAGGAACACCAAUGGCGAAGGCAGCUCGCUGGACCGGUACUGACGCUGAGGCGCGAAAGCGUGGGGAGCAAACAGG
rnacentral:rRNA from 1 species